CAGGGAGUGAGUGUGUGCAUGGUUAAAUUUGGGAGACUCCAGAGGUAAUUUGCGUCAGAAUACACUUCAUAGAGCUGCAAAACCUGCAGCGUAUGAUUAAAAAAAUCAGCAUCUAGAAGCAGAAUCUGUCACAACAAAUCUAUAAGGUCCUGAGCUCAAUUCCCAGCAACCACAUGGUGACUCACAACCAUCUAUAAGAAGAUCUAGUGUCCUCUUCUGGCGUGCAGGUGUACAUAUAGAUAGAACAUUGUAUACACGAUAAAUAAAUAAAACUUAAAAAAAUAAAAUUUAAAAUUAAAAGUUUAAA